CGGAGGGGGCCAGCGUUGCUCGGAGUUACUGGGCGUAAAGGGCUUGUAGGCGGUCUGAUAAGUCCUGUGUGAAAUCCCCUGGCUUAACCAGGGAACUGCGCCGGAUACUGUCGGACUAGAGGCCGGGAGAGGGAAGCGGAAUUCCCAGUGUAGCGGUGAAAUGCGUAGAUAUCUGGAGGAACACCAAUGGCGAAGGCAACUUCCUGGGGCAAUACUGACACUGAUGUGCGAAAGCGUGGGGAGCAAACAGGA
rnacentral:rRNA from 1 species